CACGCUAUCCUGCCAGAGCUUAAGCUAGCAGCGACAAGGGGAGUCGAGAGCCCUAAUAGUUCAUGUGUGCAGUUUAUUUCAAGAAAAGAAUCUACUUAAUUUAAUUUCUCCUCCGGGAUUCUGUGCCAAGGCCCGUUACAUGACUUUUUACUAAUUAAAAAAAAAUUAAAGCAUGCAUCUAGUCAUAUAAACAUUUGUGACAUCCUCGCAACUUAUUAAAAUUCUCAUUAGACUAAUGACUUUUGCUGAAAAUGUUUUUUAUUAUUCUGCUAAACUUUACUCUAAAUUAGUCUAAAUCCCAGUAUUGCCCUUAGUAUUAAAAGUGAGAUGAAAAGUCUGUUGAGCAGUUAGUAUUAUAGCAGACUUUAGUUCGUAAAUUUGUUUGUAAAGUUGGGUGCAAUAUUCGUGUAAUAUAUUCUUAAAAAAAAAAACAAAACAAAAAUACUUUUCCCUUUUUAUUUACUCUACACACUACACCCACUACCGGUCUGAGGUGAGUAACGGAUUCAAAACAAAUGUCUCUAGUAACUGGUUGCUUUAAUUAAUCCUCAAAUCAAUUGACUUUUACAAACACAAUACCUUUGCUGUUAAGGCUGGAGAAAGAAUGAUUAAGAAGCGGCAGAUAAUGGCGAUUGUUUUUCAUAAGACAAUGAAUAACGUCACAGUGAAUCAGUUCAUUUCCGGCUGAAUAUGAUUUAUGCAGUUUGGAAUUCUUAUGUUUAUUGUUCAGGCUGGUUGCCACCGACAAUAAAACAGAAUGAACCCAGUGCGGGUGCGAGUCCUGGACCCCCACAUGUGCAGACGUAGCGGACGUAAUGCAUGAGACAGACAAACACUAAAACAUGUAGAAAAAUGCACAGUACUGCGCAAACGUCCCAGCCCGUCAAAGAAAAUGCUGUUCGCCUGGGUAGUAGAUUGUAUUUGCUUAGAAAGAAAUACAAUUUAACGUUAAUAUUAACCAAAUGAACAGUAGCACAAUAAAAAGUAACAAGAAUUUUUCUAUUGGUCAAAAAGUUACCGAUUUCGUGUUUAUUCCGUGUUGGACAGCCAGACGAAUUUGGCAGUUUGGGAAUCGGCUGUUUUUUUUAUAUAUACAGUAGUUUGUUUAUAUAUCCUGGACAAUCGAUCCUACGUGCCUUCACAGUGUCCUGUGUUAGAUUUUUUUCUACAUGCAAUGUAGCUUCAUUCAAUUUAAACGUGUGCGGCGUAAAACUGAUGAUAAAAAAUAAUCAUGUGAUGAUCGGAGGUCUGGCCCUGGCGAUGUGCCAAGUGCUCUGCACCAUCUAUCAGGUGCCCGGCCAACAACCCCCCCCCCCCCUUCUGCAUGCCCUCAGUUUCAAGCACCCUCCAGUAUAAGCAAGUCCAGAGUUAAAGAAACGCACACUAACUGAUAGCAAUGCCUAAUGUCUCUCAUUUAACGUCUUUGCAUAAUUGUUCAGCACAUCCAACAGACUGUGCUCUGUAUUCAUAUUAAUAUAUUUAUGUAGAUAUAUUUUUAGUUGUAUUAUACAGUUUCUUGGCCUCUUUUUUUCAGUCUAACAGCCCAUUGUGUGUGUGUGUGUGUGUUUGGGGAGUCACACAGAUAGUUAAGUGACUCUAGGUUUUCUGUGUUAAUUCAAUAUAAUGUCACUCAUUCUUGUCUGACAGUAUAAAUUAAAUCUGAUAACAUAAAUAACCACAUUACACUAAUUGCAUAAGUUAUGCAAAUUAUGUAAUGCUACUUAGGGAAAUUAUGCAAAUGUUGCAAGUUACAUGAUUUGUGUAAAUCACAUAACGUUGAGUUUGUAUGUAAAAUUAUGUUUAAUGAUUUGCGUGACAUGAGUUAAACAGGUCAGCCUGUGAUGCCCAAAGUAAUUCAUUACGUUGUGGGCUUAUCUAAAACUAGGACUCUAAUGAUGAUUUAAAACACAUACACUGGCAGUUUCGUGAUGCUUUGAUUUCACAAAUGCACAGAUAUAGUCACUGUAUAUGCUGAGGAGUCACUGUAUAUGCUGAGAAGUCACUGUAUGUGCUGAGAAAUCACUGUAUAUACUGAGAAGUCACUGUAUAUGCUGAGAAGUCACUGUAUAUGCUGAGAAGUCACUGUAUAUGCUGAGAAGCACCUACAGCAGUAGCUGCCACUGGCAGGCAUCUGCAGACGUGACGUAAGGUGGCAUGCAGCCCCUCGUGCUCAUGCUGUGUCAGUAACGAUAAAGGGGGGCAGGGUGGGGGCCUAUAUCCCCCCCCCCCGACAUAACAGAACAUAUGGGCGUCACAGAAACACCCCUGAAUAUCUCCCCCCUGCCCCAUCAACUCCCACAAUGCAUCUCAAGUUCUUUAUAAUCAUCUAUAUUUAAUAGCUAUGCAGUAUCCGGCAUAUAUGAGUUCUUACAUUACAAACAAUGUAUCGCAGUGAUAUCACAUCAUUUACAAUGUGACUAUUCCACUGCUAAACUUUUUUUAGAUAGGUUCAACAAUCUAUACAUAGUAUGUAAUCACAUUAUUCUUCUUUUUCACAAUAUAUGAUGUAUUCCAAUAAUACUUUAUUAAAUUAUGCAAUGCAAUUGAUCCUCUGACCAUGCACCAAAUAAGCCCAGCAGGCCUUUAGUAUCAAGAAAAACGGUUAUGAAAGAGGUAUAACAAAAGGAAUGAAAUGCCUUGUAUCAGACCACAUGGUCUUGUAACAUGCCAGUAAGGACAAUGCACAGAUUAGCAUUGCAGACAUUCUUACUUUGACACACAAAUGCAGUGUCCUUAAAAAUGUUAUUGUCAUUUCGGGACACAAAGCCACAUUAGCAUGCUAACGCUCUGAUGAGAAUGUUAAGCUUACGAGAAUGCGAUGCCACCUGGAGCCCCGGACGCAAAACGAGGCCCCACGAUUCAACAAAAAGUCAAGUACAGUAUAUGGAUAAAAGUAUUUGGAGUCCUGGCCAUUAUAGCUACAGGAACUUGUAUGACAUUCCAUUCUAAAUCCAUAGGCAUCAAUAUGGAGUUGGUCCCCCCUUUGCAGCUAUAGCAGCUGCUGAUCUUCUGGGAAGGCUUUCCACGAGAUUUCAGAGUAUGUCUUUGGGAAUUUUUGCCCAUUCAUCCAUAAGAGCAUUUGUGAGGUCAGGCACUGAGGUCGGACUUGAAUCUCCAUUCUAGUUUGUCCCAAAGCUGUUCAAUCAGGUUGAGGUCAGGGCCCUGUGCAGGCCUAUCAAGGUCUUCCACACCAAUCUCACCCGACCAUGUCUUCAUGGACUUUGCGCUAUGCACUGGGACACAGUCAUUCUGCAACUGAAAAGGGCCUUCCCCAAACUCUUCCCACAAAGUUGGAAGUAUAGAAUUAUCCAAAAUGUCUAGAAUUGCAAAAUCCUGUGGAAACCCUUCCCAGAAGAGUUGUAACCGUUACGGCUGUGAAGGGGGAAUAAACUCAAUAAUGAUGCCUUUAGAUUUGGAAUGGGAUGUCAUAAAAGUUCUUAUGGGUGUAAUGGCCAGGUGUCCCAGAAUUUUUGUCCAUAUAGUGUGUGUCAUAAGCCAACUAUACACAUACAAAUGGAAUUUAUGUUGGGGAAGAUCAUAUAAAUAAAAUACUGCACUGAACCCCAAGUGAGUGAUUCUCCCACUCUUGCACCAUAUGCAAUUAGCCAUUACCCAACGCCAUUACCCAAGAAUCUUCUACAACCUUCCUAAAGUCUGCUUGCCAACAAGGUGCCCAAAACACCACCCACAGAAAAUAAUCAAUGUCGCGUGAAUCCUUUUUAAGUUAAUUCAAAGAGAGCAAAUGGGACAUUGGGAUCCAUCUAUUUUACGUUACGUUAAUACCACACUGUAAUACGACUGUAACUCAACUAUUAUUCAUAUUUAACUCAAGACAUCGGUAUUACAAACAUAAUGAUUUUGCAAAAUCAAAAAUUGAUGGCUUUUAGGGUUUUGUGGUCGGUUGUGUCAUUUUAUGGAUUAAUCUAUUCUGAGGUUUAAUUUACCUGCUCGAGCCCAUAACUGGGUCAUUUUGCUGUUCUUGCAUGAACUAACUGCAAUGCAUGGGUUACUUAACCCUUCUGUCAGAUCUAUUGAUGGAUUUGGGGCCAUUCCAGAAUGCAUUCAUCAAUUCCAAUCCAAAUCAGGAAAUGGAACUGGAGUUGGAAUUUAAAUCUCCCUGAAAUUCAAAUUCAAUUCCAGUUCAAUUUCCUGAUUUGGACUGGAAUUGAUGAAUACAUUCCAGAAAGGCCCCAGCCCUGCUGUCAACCUGUUCCUCAUGCACUCCAGGUCUUCUGUCACCCAAAUUUUCAUCUCCUUCUGUAUUCUCACAUACCAAGACCUCAGCCAUGUGACAUUCUGAAGGUUCACAAGGUAGUCGGUGUGAUCUACCAUGUCUGUCUCAACAUCCUCAACCCCUCCUUCUGAUAUGUCGAUCAACUCAGGCCAUAGUUCUGGUGAUUCAUCAAAGGACACUUCAGAAUCUGCAAUCAGUCAGGCAAUAGGGAGGUAAUGCUGCAGAAGUCUCUCACGUCCAUCACUGGUAUUUAUGUAGUGGUAAUUGUGACAUUUCGAGUCUCCUGCAGCCACCACAUACGGAGCAGACUGCCGCUUGUCUGCCACCUUCCCACAUCAUCAUUCACCUUUAUUAUCCAGUAAAACCUGGUCUCCUUCCAUAAUUUUGCCUCCCUUGGUCCUCUUGUUAUGAAAUUCAGGUUAACGUUGUUAGCCGGAGAUCCCAUUGAGUUGAGCUGAGACUACUCCUCACUUAGAUCGUCCCUCAGCUGUCAUGCGUAUUUUAUCAUAGUCAACAGUAUCACUGUCCCUUCCUACUCUGUGAAACGUCACAUCAUCUGGGAGGUGAGGAGCUCUCCUGUACAUUAGACAUGAUGUGGCGUAACCUCUUAACUCAUAUUACAUGCAAAAUCUGUGACACAUGAGGUCACUUCUGUAUUACUCCUGGUAGUAGAACAUCUGCCAUACCUCCCACUGUUCCAUUGAAGCAUUUGGAAGUGUUGUUGCCCAUGGUAUGGUGUGCAGAGGUCCUCAAGGACUUCACUCCUCAAUCAGAUGACUCUUGAAAGUGGCACCUUGAUCUAAGUGAAUCUUCUUUGGGAAGCUGUUGAUGCAAAAAUACCUAUGUUUAUAUCAGUGGUCCGUCUCCAUUGCUGAUUGAUUAUGGCACAGGACAGUAUGCGCCAUCUUGGUGUCUGUGAUUACGAAGAUAUCCAUGCCCUUCCUCUCAUAUAUUCCACCGACUAGAAAUCCUUACACACUAAGCCACAAAGUCCUAAUAUUCUCAAUGGACUUGAACUUCAGGUUCGGGAGUUUUGCUUGCAACACAGUGCUUGCCAGUCUGAAGAUCCUCUUUGCUAUCAAGCACCAUGUCAACUCAAAAGAAUCUGUCUUGCCAAAGAUGGAGUUCCACGCUGCCUGAUUGGGGAGUCCCUGCAAACCUUUUUGAAGCAGCAGCAAUAUAAUGAUGGCAUAUUUUCCCAGUCAGCGGGUGCGUAAGCACUUGGGCACAUCAUCCAAUAUCUUAUGCUUGUCCCACUGUUUCAGCAUUUUCCGCACCUUAAAUGUUUUCUUUGCUUUCCCGAUCUCCCAGAUGACCGCAAAUGACCGACGACAUCGUGCCAUCUUCCUACAGCCCAUGUUUCCAAACGAACACAGAGACAACAAUGGACCCAACACGUCAACACAUCCAGUAAAGCAUCAGUAGAACACAGUCAGUCAACUGGAGUUGGGGGGAUCCAGCAGUGUGGAGAUUGACAGCACAUACUUCAGCUUAUUGAAGGUCCUGCUAUGGGUGCGAUCGCCUGGAUUGAGCUGAGUCUGAAAGAGGCAGCAGCCUUUGUACUUCACUGCCUACUAGCUGGCGCUACUGUCAGAAAGAAGAGAGGAGCCGCUGAGUCCUGUAUGAGCUGCUGGUGAUGCAUCAGUGUGCCGAGGGGUGACGUCAUGCCCCGUGUGCGUGUAACCGCAGGUAACCCACACACAUACGCAAAUCUCCAUUCUUUUUCCAUAAAAGCAAUCGAUGUCCACAAUGCAUCUACAUUUCUUAAUAUAAUCAUUUAUAUUUAAUACCUAUACAGUAUCCAUUAUAUUCAAGUACUUAGAUUACAAAAUACACAUCACAGUGAUAUCACAUCAUUUCAAUAUGUACCUAUUCCACUGAUAUCCUUUUUAUAGAUAUGUUCUAUAAUCUAUAUAUAAUACAUAAUCAUAUUAUUCUUAUUUUUCACAAUAUAUGAUGCAUUCCAAAAAUACUUGGUUUAAUUAUGCAGUACAAUUGAUCCUUUGACAGUCGGUCAAGUAAAACCAUUAGACCUGCAGUAUAAUGAAAGACGGUUGAAUUGCCUGGUAUCACAAUCCACACCGAAUGUCUCAAGACGUGCCUUACUGUUAGAACAAAAGAACAAGAGAAAUUUACAAAGGAGAGGAGGCCAUUCGGCCCAUCAAGCUCAUUUGGGGAGAACUUAACUAAUGGCUCAGAGUUGUUAAAAUCUUAUCUAUCUUUGAUUUAAAGGAACCCAGGAUUUUAGCUUACGCUACACUAACGGGAAGACCAUUCCAUACUCUAACUACUGUUCUUACUUCAAGACACAACUGUAGUGUCCUUAAAAAUGACAUUGUUAUAUCGAUAUACAGACGCAAAGUCACAUCAACAUGCUAACACUCUGAUGCUCAUGAGGUGCUGGCCUGGUUCACCAUGCAGUGCUAAAGUGCUAAACUCAACUAGCAUAUAAUAAUGAGAGAUCAUGGUUCUAUUUCCAACCUAUCUAAGCAUUACAUCCUUUAUGAAACUGUUAUACAACCAAGUGUGUUAUAUACUAUCAAAUGUAACUAGGUUAUAGAAAGUUACACAUUUUAAAGAUAUAAAUAUUAAAUUACAUUGUAUAAAGAAGAAUAAUUAAAAAAACUGUAUGUGUUUUUCAGUGGGGCAGCAUGGUGGUGCAGUGGUUAACCCUAUUGUUUCAACCCCCGGGGUCCUGGGUUCGAGUCUCUGCCGUGGCUCCGUGUGUGUGGAGGGUGCAUGUUCUUCCUGUGUCAUCGUGAGUUUUCCUCUAGGUUCUCUGGAUUCACAGUCAAUAGACAUGCUGAGGUUAAUUGGCAUCACCAAAUCGCCUGUAGGUGUGAGCGAAUUGUGUGUGUGACUGUACCCUGCGACGGGUCGCUGCCACAUCCUAAGUUGCUCUUGCACCCGUAACCUCUGGGAUAAGAUCCAGAACCUCCUGUGACCCUGAAUAGGACAGGUGGUUACAGAAAAUAGAUGGAUAUAUUUUAGUUAAGCAAGUCACAAAACAGUGGUGGAUUUUCGGGUGUUUGUUAAGCUGAGGUAGGUGUUACCCAGCAGUUAGGUGCAGUAAACUGUGCAGGUUUGUGUUUCAUUGCUUCCUGAAUAUUUAUAUGGAUGUCACAUACAUACAGGAGUAUUUCUAUUUGUUUUGAGUGCCUGGAGGGAUUGUGCCAGUCUGGUUGACGGUAGCACUGCAUGCAGGAAAUGCAGUGACAGUGCAUAUAGAAAGCAGAGUGUCUAUGAAGUUGAUCAGUGGCAGUAACAGCUUAGGUUUGGGGAACAUGGUAGCCUGUUUAAGACCCAACAAUAAAAAACAGUAAAUAACAAUAAAAUAAUGAUAAUAUAGAUAACAAUAAAAAGCAUUCACACUGUUGAAAAACAGCUUCCGGGCUUCUUAAACAGCUAUAAAAAAAUCACCAACUCGGGAACCUGUUAGUGAUUCUUAGGGUACAUGCUAUGCUCUUAAAGCAUUAAGUAAAACAAUCAUUCAUUACAUAGCCUUUUAUUUUUAGCAUACCUUUAGAGAAAUAUUACCUAGAUCAGUCUCUUCUAUUCCCUCAGUGACUAAUAGCUCAGACAUGGAACGUGUCCCUAACCCACAGGGGUCUAGAAUCGAUCAGAAGAAACACAACCCCUCCCACAUUGUCUGUCUGUUUGUAUGCGAUCCCAGUGUAAUCGAUGUACUGUUCUUUCACAUAAAAACGGUACAAGGUCCAUUGUACUCAAGAUCUGUGUAAAACCUGAAAGUGGCUUCUGUUUUAUGGAGUAACGGUCAUUUAGGCAGCAGGUUGACUUUAUUAGGGGUGAAUUGCAUGUUCAUGCAUCUUUGGAUUAGGCUAUCAUUGGAGUCUAUCACAGGCUCUCCCUAUCUCAUGCGAUCCCUUAGGCUAUCUCAGGCUAUCAUUGAAAGCUACCUCAGGCUAUCAUUGGAGGCUAUCACAGGCUCUCCCUAUCUCAUGCGAUCCGUUAGGCUAUCUCAGACUCUCAUUGAAGGCUAUCUCAGGCUAUCCUUAUAGUCUAUCUCAGACUGUUAUUGGAAGCUUUCUCAGGCUAUCAUUGAAAGCUAUUUUAAGUAAUCUCUUGCUACUCCACAAAUUCAACACAUUCCUCUUGAAACAUUGACUGGGUUUAGUACUGUCAGUACCUUGCAUUACUGUGUAAUGCAUUCAAGGAUGGUAUAUCAAAUAAUAAUACGUCAUCAUGAAAGAUAGAUAUGGCAUAACACUAGUGCGUAACUAUGGUGUGCGUAGUAUACAUAUACAUUCUCGUGAUAUGUAUACCAUAGCAUAAGGAUUAAAACAAAAGUAUAUUUCUUUGAAGAUAAUUAUUGGACAGCAUUUAUUGUCAAAUUUUAGGUCAGGAAGAACAAAAAUCUAUUUAUAGUGCCAAAGCAUCUAGAAUUGUAUAGUUAUGCAAAUGUAUUUUUUAAAAUAUUCAUAACGUAAAUGAGAAUAUUUAAAUUCUUUCAUAUAUGACAAGUUUAUUCUCCAUAAGCACAGCUGCUAAUGUAUAAUAUGUUUAAUUCACCUUGUACUGGGGUUCCCUGAUCUUUUUUCAUACUAUGAAACCGGUUUCAUGUCAAAAAGACUGAUGGAUAAAGAGAGGCAAAGAAGCCGUAAACAGCAGGAAUAAGGUAGAGGGUGGGGCUGACAGGGACUGGGGGGUGGAGAUGACAAGGACUGAGGGGUGUGGCUGACAAGGACAAGAGGUGGGACUGACAGGGACCGAGGGGUGGGGUGGAGGUGACAAGGACUGGGGGAGGUGGAGCUGACAGGGACCGAGGGGUGUGGCUGACAAGGACUGGGGGGUGGAGCUGACAGGGACAAGAGGUGGGACUGACAAGGAUUGGGGGUGAAGCUCGCCGGAGUUGGGGGUGGGGCUGACAGAGAUUGGGGGUGGAGCUGUCAGGAACAGGGGGAGUGGAGCUGUCAGGAACAGGGGGGUGGGCACAGAAAGGAUCUCAGACCCAGAUGUUAGACCCAGGGAAACCCAGUUGGUGAGUAUAAGUGCCUAUACAAGUACCUCAGGCAACCAAACAGCACCACUAAUUGCUUUUGCAAAUGGUGAACAGAAGCUAAUUAAAAUGAUAGCUGUAUGGCAGCUUGUAACAUCAGUGCUGUUUGACAGCAUGCUAUGGCACAGAGUCAGUGAGAAGUCAGUAGACAAAGCACUGCCAAAGGGAUGUGAUGAUUUAAGAACUGCAUCCAACAUGUUUAACAGCAUUCCAAAGGAAUGUGGACCACUAUGUUCCUAUGUCCUAUCUAUAGUAUGUAUUUAAUACUAAGUUGAUUGUUUGCACACAUACAGUAUAUGCUUAUUAUUUAUGCAAGUAUGUCAUUACAGAAGCAGCUACUAAAUUUUGUUGUAAAUUUUGUUGAUCCUUGAAGAACCUUGGUGAUUUGUUUAGGUGUCCAUCUAAAUAUCAUUUAAAUCCAUCCAUCUAAAUUCAUUUUGCAAUCUGCAAUUUAUUAUUUUAUGCUCAAACUCAUGAAGACCUGAGUGACACCUACAUUCUCUUGCACUAUAUGGAGAAAAGCACUGGGACUCACCUCUUAACCAUUGAAUUCAUGUACUUCAUCCAGACCCAUUGCCACAGGUGUGUAAAAUCAAGCACCUAGCCAUGCAGUCAGGUUUACAAACAUUUAUGAAAGAACUCAAUGAAUUCAAGCAUGGUGUUGUCAUAGGAUGCCACCUUUACAAUGACAGUUUGUGAAAUUUCUUCCCUACUAGAUAUUCCACGGUGAACUGUAAGUGGUAUUACUGCAAAGUGGAAGUGUUUAGGAGCAACAGAGAGGGGGGUCGUCGAAUGCUGAGGUGCAUAGUGCGUAGAAGUUGCCAAAGCUCUGUGGAGUAAAUGCAGAGUUCCAAACUUCCUCUGGCAUUAAUCCCAGCGCUAAAUCUGUGCACCGGGAGCUUCAUGGAAUGGGCUUCCAUGGCCGAGCAGCUGCAUGCAAGCCUCACAUCACCAAGCAUAAUGCCAGGCAUUGGAUGAAGUGGUGUAAAGCACUCUGCCACUGAACUCUGGAGCAGUGGAGACAUGUUUUGUGGAGUGAUGAAUCACACUUCUUUGUCUUGCAAUCUGAUAGAUGAGUCUGGGUUUGGCAGAUGCCAGGAGAACGUUACCUGCUUGACUGUAUUGUGCCAGCUGUAAAGUUUGGUGGAGGAGGGAUAAUGGUGUGGGGAUGUUCUUCAGGAGUUUGGCUAGGCCCCUUAGUUCCAGUGAAUGGAACUCUUAAUGCUUCAGCAUACCAAGACAUUUUGGACAAUUUUAUGCUUCCAACUUCGUGGUAACCGUUCAGGAAAAGCCCUUCUGGGCCAUAAAGACAUGGUUGGGUGAGUCUGGUGUGGAAGAACUUGAUUGGCCAACACAGAUCCCUGACCUCAACCUCGCCGAACACCUUCGGGAUGAACUAGAAUGGAGGUUGCGAGCCAGGCCUCCAUGUCCAGCAUCAGUGCCUGACCUCAGAGAUGCUCUUAUGGAUGAAUGGACAAAAAUUCCCACAGACACAGUACAGAAUCUUGAGGACAGCCUUCCCAGAAGAGCAGCAACUGUUAUAGCUGCAAAGGGGAGACCAACUCCAUAUUGAUGGCUGGGGAUUUAGAAUGAGAUGCUAUAAAAGUUCCUGUAGGUGUAAUGGCUAGAUGUCUCAAAACGUUUGUUUAUAUAGUGUAUUUAUUUAUAUUGCUGUAAUUCUUUCAAGCAUUGAAACAUCCAUACUGUGUAUUUCCUUUUACUGUACUGACGUUUUUUUCUUAAGUGACUAUUCCAGGCCAAUUUCAAGAGCUUUUAUACAAACAUUUCUACAGAAUAUUUACCAGAGACAAUCAAAAUGUUUUUACAAUGGUUUAUUAAUUCAUUGCAUAGUUUUAUGUCUGUAAAAAUCCCAUCCCUUUGGGUUGAAGCUAAGCAUCAUGGCAGCAGUAGCAGUUUAAUAUGGGUUAACUUAAACUAAGCUAAACUAAACUAACUAAAGCUGCUGAAUAACUGAGUAAAUGUCAGUUGAGUCUAUAUGUCUUUAGUGAUUUGUGCCUGCUUAUCUGUUGCAAUUUAUUAACUACAGAAAUGGUAAGCCUUCCUAAUCUAUAAAGUAAUGCUGUUAUUCUGUGCAUUUAAGAUGUUAAAUAAACAGCAAUGUCUUGUUGAUAUAGCUUUGGAAAUUAAAUACAAAUAUACCUUU